GCCGAUGUGGCUCAAUGGUAGAGCAACGGUUUUGUAAACCGUAGGUUGGGGGUUCGAUUCCCUUCAUCGGCACCA
rnacentral:tRNA from 1 species